rnacentral:rRNA from 1 species
UACAGAGGGUGCAAGCGUUGUUCGGAAUCACUGGGCGUAAAGCGCGUGUAGGCGGCUGGUUGUGUCGAAUGUGAAAGCCCUCGGCUUAACCGAGGAAGUGCGUUCGAAACUGACUAGCUUGAGUACCGGAGAGGAAGGUGGAAUUCCCGGUGUAGAGGUGAAAUUCGUAGAUAUCGGGAGGAACACCAGUGGCGAAGGCGGCUCGCUGGACCGGUUCUGACGCUGAUGCGCGAAAGCGUGGGGAGCAAACGGG